UUGAACGCUGGCGGCAGGCCUAACACAUGCAAGUCGAACGGUAACAGGAAACAGCUUGCUGUUUCGCUGACGAGUGGCGGACGGGUGAGUAAUGUCUGGGAAACUGCCUGAUGGAGGGGGAUAACUACUGGAAACGGUAGCUAAUACCGCAUAACGUCGCAAGACCAAAGAGGGGGACCUUCGGGCCUCUUGCCAUCGGAUGUGCCCAGAUGGGAUUAGCUUGUUGGUGGGGUAACGGCUCACCAAGGCGACGAUCCCUAGCUGGUCUGAGAGGAUGACCAGCCACACUGGAACUGAGACACGGUCCAGACUCCUACGGGAGGCAGCAGUGGGGAAUAUUGCACAAUGGGCGCAAGCCUGAUGCAGCCAUGCCGCGUGUAUGAAGAAGGCCUUCGGGUUGUAAAGUACUUUCAGCGGGGAGGAAGGGAGUAAAGUUAAUACCUUUGCUCAUUGACGUUACCCGCAGAAGAAGCACCGGCUAACUCCGUGCCAGCAGCCGCGGUAAUACGGAGGGUGCAAGCGUUAAUCGGAAUUACUGGGCGUAAAGCGCACGCAGGCGGUUUGUUAAGUCAGAUGUGAAAUCCCCGGGCUCAACCUGGGAACUGCAUCUGAUACUGGCAAGCUUGAGUCUCGUAGAGGGGGGUAGAAUUCCAGGUGUAGCGGUGAAAUGCGUAGAGAUCUGGAGGAAUACCGGUGGCGAAGGCGGCCCCCUGGACGAAGACUGACGCUCAGGUGCGAAAGCGUGGGGAGCAAACAGGAUUAGAUACCCUGGUAGUCCACGCCGUAAACGAUGUCGACUUGGAGGUUGUGCCCUUGAGGCGUGGCUUCCGGAGCUAACGCGUUAAGUCGACCGCCUGGGGAGUACGGCCGCAAGGUUAAAACUCAAAUGAAUUGACGGGGGCCCGCACAAGCGGUGGAGCAUGUGGUUUAAUUCGAUGCAACGCGAAGAACCUUACCUGGUCUUGACAUCCACGGAAGUUUUCAGAGAUGAGAAUGUGCCUUCGGGAACCGUGAGACAGGUGCUGCAUGGCUGUCGUCAGCUCGUGUUGUGAAAUGUUGGGUUAAGUCCCGCAACGAGCGCAACCCUUAUCCUUUGUUGCCAGCGGUCCGGCCGGGAACUCAAAGGAGACUGCCAGUGAUAAACUGGAGGAAGGUGGGGAUGACGUCAAGUCAUCAUGGCCCUUACGACCAGGGCUACACACGUGCUACAAUGGCGCAUACAAAGAGAAGCGACCUCGCGAGAGCAAGCGGACCUCAUAAAGUGCGUCGUAGUCCGGAUUGUAGUCUGCAACUCGACUCCAUGAAGUCGGAAUCGCUAGUAAUCGUGGAUCAGAAUGCCACGGUGAAUACGUUCCCGGGCCUUGUACACACCGCCCGUCACACCAUGGGAGUGGGUUGCAAAAGAAGUAGGUAGCUUAACCUUCGGGAGGGCGCUUACCACUUUGUGAUUCAUGACUGGGGUG
rnacentral:rRNA from 1 species